rnacentral:rRNA from 1 species
UACGUAGGGUGCAAGCGUUGUCCGGAAUUAUUGGGCGUAAAGAGCUCGUAGGCGGUCUGUCGCGUCUGCUGUGAAAACUCGGGGCUUAACCCCGGGCCUGCAGUGGGUACGGGCAGACUAGAGUGCGGUAGGGGAGACUGGAAUUCCUGGUGUAGCGGUGAAAUGCGCAGAUAUCAGGAGGAACACCGGUGGCGAAGGCGGGACUCUGGGCCGAUACUGACGCUGAGGAGCGAAAGCGUGGGGAGCGAACAGG